GAUGAACGCUGGCGGCGUGCCUAAUACAUGCAAGUCGAGCGAACGGACGAGAAGCUUGCUUCUCUGAUGUUAGCGGCGGACGGGUGAGUAACACGUGGAUAACCUACCUAUAAGACUGGGAUAACUUCGGGAAACCGGAGCUAAUACCGGAUAAUAUUUUGAACCGCAUGGUUCAAAAGUGAAAGACGGUCUUGCUGUCACUUAUAGAUGGAUCCGCGCUGCAUUAGCUAGUUGGUAAGGUAACGGCUUACCAAGGCAACGAUGCAUAGCCGACCUGAGAGGGUGAUCGGCCACACUGGAACUGAGACACGGUCCAGACUCCUACGGGAGGCAGCAGUAGGGAAUCUUCCGGAAUGGGCGAAAGCCUGACGGAGCAACGCCGCGUGAGUGAUGAAGGUCUUCGGAUCGUAAAACUCUGUUAUUAGGGAAGAACAUAUGUGUAAGUAACUGUGCACAUCUUGACGGUACCUAAUCAGAAAGCCACGGCUAACUACGUG
rnacentral:rRNA from 1 species